AGUCGAGCGCACCUUCGGGUGAGCGGCGGACGGGUUAGUAACGCGUGGGAACAUACCCUUUGGUACGGAAUAGCCUCUGGAAACGGAGAGUAAUACCGUAUGAGCCCUUCGGGGGAAAGAUUUAUCGCCAAAGGAUUGGCCCGCGUUAGAUUAGGUAGUUGGUGGGGUAAUGGCCUACCAAGCCUACGAUCUAUAGCUGGUUUUAGAGGAUGAUCAGCAACACUGGGACUGAGACACGGCCCAGACUCCUACGGGAGGCAGCAGUGGGGAAUCUUGGACAAUGGGGGCAACCCUGAUCCAGCCAUGCCGCGUGAGUGAUGAAGGCCUUAGGGUCGUAAAGCUCUUUCGCCUGUGAAGAUAAUGACGGUAGCAGGUAAAGAAACCCCGGCUAACUCCGUGCCAGCAGCCGCGGUAAUACGGAGGGGGUUAGCGUUGUUCGGAAUUACUGGGCGUAAAGCGCACGUAGGCGGACUGGAAAGUUGGGGGUGAAAUCCCAGGGCUCAACCCUGGAACUGCCUCCAAAACUAUCAGUCUAGAGUUCGAGAGAGGUGAGUGGAAUUCCGAGUGUAGAGGUGAAAUUCGUAGAUAUUCGGAGGAACACCAGUGGCGAAGGCGGCUCACUGGCUCGAUACUGACGCUGAGGUGCGAAAGUGUGGGGAGCAAACAGGAUUAGAUACCCUGGUAGUCCACACCGUAAACGAUGAAUGCCAGUCGUCGGGUAGCAUGCUAUUC
rnacentral:rRNA from 2 species